rnacentral:rRNA from 1 species
UACGUAGGGGGCAAGCGUUGUCCGGAAUCAUUGGGCGUAAAGCGCGUGUAGGCGGCCCGGUAAGUCCGCUGUGAAAGUCGGGGGCUCAACCCUCGAAUGCCGGUGGAUACUGUCGGGCUAGAGUGCGGAAGAGGCGAGUGGAAUUCCUGGUGUAGCGGUGAAAUGCGCAGAUAUCAGGAGGAACACCAAUUGCGAAAGCAGCUCUCUGGGACGGUACUGACGCUGAGACGCGAAAGCGUGGGGAGCGAACAGG